CGGAACAACUCAGGGAAACUUGAGCUAAUACCGGAUGUGCCCUUCGGGGGAAAGAUUUAUCGCCAUUGGAGCGGCCCGCGUCUGAUUAGCUAGUUGGUGAGGUAAAGGCUCACCAAGGCGACGAUCAGUAGCUGGUCUGAGAGGAUGAUCAGCCACAUUGGGACUGAGACACGGCCCAAACUCCUACGGGAGGCAGCAGUGGGGAAUCUUGCGCAAUGGGCGAAAGCCUGACGCAGCCAUGCCGCGUGAAUGAUGAAGGUCUUAGGAUUGUAAAAUUCUUUCACCGGGGACGAUAAUGACGGUACCCGGAGAAGAAGCCCCGGCUAACUUCGUGCCAGCAGCCGCGGUAAUACGAAGGGGGCUAGCGUUGCUCGGAAUUACUGGGCGUAAAGGGAGCGUAGGCGGACUGUUUAGUCAGAGGUGAAAGCCCAGGGCUCAACCUUGGAAUUGCCUUUGAUACUGGCAGUCUUGAGUACGGAAGAGGUAUGUGGAACUCCGAGUGUAGAGGUGAAAUUCGUAGAUAUUCGGAAGAACACCAGUGGCGAAGGCGACAUACUGGUCCGUUACUGACGCUGAGGCUCGAAAGCGUGGGGAGCAAACAGGAUUAGAUACCCUGGUAGUCCAC
rnacentral:rRNA from 1 species